GACCGGAUGCGGAUCUCGAAAGCCUGUCCCAGUUCGGACUGGAGUCUGCAACCCGACUCCACGAAGUUGGAUUCGCUAGUAAUCGCGCAUCAGCCAUGGCGCGGUGAAUACGUUCCCGGGCCUUGUACACACCGCCCGUCAAGCCAUGGGAACCGGGGGCGCCUGAAGUCCGGGACCGCGAGGACCGGCCUAGGGCGAAACUGGUAACUGGGGCUAAGUCGUAACAAGGUAUC
rnacentral:rRNA from 1 species